GCCCAGAUCCCUGACACCGAACACCUGGGGAGGUUUCACGAAACCGUCAUUAAGUCUAACUUUUUAGACAUCGUAUUGAAACGUGUGAUAGAGAUCUAACACGUGUUUCUACCAAAUCUCCACGAGCUUAGACUUAUGGCAGUUUCGAGAAACUAGCACUCGCUCUGAAUCUGGCGCAUCCACGGCCACGCUGGAAGCUCGGAUCUGACCGCCUGCGAUGCAUGCCCCGGACGCGACGGCAGCCCGCUCUCGAGCUAACUCUCCAUCGCAUCGUGCAGCUGUCUUUCUUCUCUUUCACGAACACGGUUGCCCGACUGAAACAACUAGACCACAUUAGUAUCCUGACAUCAAGAUAGGUCUCUAUUAUGUGCCCAUCCGUCUGAUUAAGUCUUCUUUGGAGCAAACUGUCAGACAUUUGCGGUAGUAUACAGCUGAAAUGGAAUUUCCGUUCAACCAAACAGUAUACUUCAAGGCUAUUUCUCAGCGACGAGGGUUAGCUCCAGGUAGCAGUAGCAGGCUGGAAGUAACACACAUGUGCAGUGUUUCAGUCGAAAACGAAUACCACCCAUUCAAAAUCGGUUAUAGGAUCUUGUCCAUAUGUCCAUAUUUUUGUAUGCAUGUGAAACAUGGACCAUGACAGCAGACAUUAAAAGAAGGAUACAGGCACUGGAGAUGAAAUGUUUCCGCAAACUCCUCAGUAUCUGGUAUAGAGAUCACAUAACCAACGAGGUAGUGAAAAUCAGAAUUGGAAACACCAUAGGGCCGUAUGAAGACCUCCUGACUUCAGUGAAAAGAUGCAAAGUAAAGUGGUAUGGGUAUGUCACAUGAUCAUGUGGACUGGCCAAGACUAUUCUACAUGGAACAGUACAAGGAGGGAGACGAAAAGGCAGGCAGAGGAAACGAUGGGAAGACAACAUUAACGAGUGACCUUGACUGAAACAUCAUACUUCGUAAAGCCAAGAACCACGAGGAGUGGAGGAAGCUGGUAGUAUAAAUCUUCAGUGGUGCCCCAAGGGUCAGCCAGACUGUGGGAUAGGUGAAGGUGAAGGUGAAGGAAGCUAAGAAUCAGAUAGUUAGACAUUAUAUUGGAUCAUUUAUCCUUUCCUUCAAAAGGAAUGUUGCUUUAUACUGUAGCACAUAAACAAUGCUUUUUAAUUGGCAAUAUUUCAGUUCAGUACGCUUGUUAUUAAUUUCAUCAAACAUUAAAAUGUAAAAGGGAGAAACACUGUCAUUUGAAAAUCAAAAUGUAAGUCAUAAAAAUUUCACUGUCUAACUAUCUGAAUCUUGUCAGGAUCCAUGUACGAGUUAGUGCAAUUCUUUUCUCUUCACUACAACCGCAUUGAUUUACUUUAAUAGCAUGUUACUAGGUACAUCAAUUGAUGAGAAAAAGCAGCAAAACGCUUUAAAUUUGUUGUAGUCUUAAAAUUAAAGUUGGAAGUUUCCUAAAAAGGGAAUUUUAGAACACUCCUUCAACUGACAUGCACGGAUGUUAUACUUAUGAAUUUCCAUACAUUAAUGUCUUUGUAAUGCAUGUUACCAAACAAAAAAAAGUAUCAUCAACCAUUCUUGUCAUUUCCUGUGCAAUUAUUUUCACAUCCUGGCUUAACAGUACAUAAACAGUGCUCUUUUAUUUUCAAUAUUUCAGAAAAAUGCAUUUGCAUUAUGAUACAUGCAGGUAUAGUUGGUCAAGUAAGAAUAUAUUUACAGCAUGCUCACUAUGAAUUGAUUAAAUCGCCAUUGAAUCUAAAAGGUAUGUUAUACCUCAUUGUAUAUUCAGAAGGAAAAAGUGUGAGGAUAGCUUUAAAAAAAAAAAAA
rnacentral:lncRNA from 1 species